AGUGAACGCUGGCGGUAGGCCUAACACAUGCAAGUCGAACGGCAGCACAGUAAGAGCUUGCUCUUACGGGUGGCGAGUGGCGGACGUGUGAGGAAUACAUCGGAAUCUACUUUUUCGUGGGGGAUAACGUAGGGAAACUUACGCUAAUACCGCAUACGACCUACGGGUGAAAGCAGGGGAUCUUCGGACCUUGCGCGAUUGAAUGAGCCGAUGUCGGAUUAGCUAGUUGGCGGGGUAAAGGCCCACCAAGGCGACGAUCCGUAGCUGGUCUGAGAGGAUGGUCAGCCACACUGGAACUGAGACACGGUCCAGACUCCUACGGGAGGCAGCAGUGGGGAAUAUGGGACAAUGGGCGCAAGCAUGAUCCAGUCAUACCGCGUGGGUGACGAAGGCCCUCGGGUUGUAAAGCCCUUUUGUUGGGAAAGAAAAGCAGCAGGUUAAGACCCCGCUGUUCUGACGGUACCCAAAGAAUAAGCACCGGCUAACUUCGUG
rnacentral:rRNA from 1 species